AUGGUUUUCCUUCUUGACCUAUUGCCUAUUAUCUAUAGUCAAAAGCACCUAGACAGUACCCACACAGUGAGCUCGAUUAAGUAUGCCUUGAAUCUAGGGUGGAAAAGUCUGGCUGACUACCUCUGACAUUUAAGCUCCUGAGUUAUGUUCAGCAGCAGUAAACUUACCAAAUUGUGUAGCAAUCAUAAAAUACAGUCUAAGAAAAAUUAAGCAUUUGAACUGAAAUAUGUCAAACUUGCAAAAGGUUCAACCCAAUUCAGUGUCAGUCUCCAAGGAUGGAACUAUUUCUGAGCAAGUUGCUAGUUAUGAUAUAAAAAAUGAGUAUGUUUUGGCAAAACGUGCAUUUUUAGAACUGAAAAAAUGAAACCUAUAUAUACCACUCUAAAUAAUUUUUAGACUGAAGUAAAAAUUUGUCUUGAUUUAUACUAUGUAAACCAGACCCAGACAGAGUGUAUGUGUACAACGGAGUAGGAUGAAACCUAAAUCUUUAGAAUUUACAAUCCUAAUAAUUUAUUACAUUCAAACACACUGUAAUGCUGAGAUGAUUAAAACAAGAUUAUAGAGCCAUCAAAUACUGUGAUGUCUUUCAUACUCAGAACUGCUUCCCACUUCAGUUCACCUCCACCUGUUAACUCAUUUCUAUGCUUCCAUUAAGGGCAGACGGAAGAUUAUGCAAACCACCCAGAACUCCUUGUGGAAGUACAUCCUGGAGGGGUGACUGGGCACAUACCACUUUCCGCUCCAGCUUCAGCAAUGAGUGAAACUCAAGUCUCGUGGGGCUACUGGGUUACCUCUUCCACAGAUUCGUGGUCUUUAGAGAAAUUUAUGAGAAGCCAUGUCAGACAUCAAAGAGCUGUUGAAGUUGUCAAAUUUCAGGCUUAAAAGAACUGCAAGAGAUGCCAAAGCCAAGUUUGUUCUGUUCACAUUGUGUAGCCACUAAUGAAAUAAAAUACCAAGGAGGCAAAGGGAGAACGGAGAGACAGCAGGCAAAAAUAAUUCCUGAACACAGCAGAUGGCA